AUUCGUCUGACAUGAAACCGGCGCACGGGUGCGUAACACGUAUGCAACCUACCUUUAACUGGGGUAUAGCUCAGAGAAAUCUGAAUUAAUCCCCCAUAAGACUACGACAUGGCAUCAUGAUGUAGUUAAAGCUCCGGCGGUUAAGGAUGGGCAUGCGGUACAUUAGCUAGUUGGUGAGGUAAUGGCUCACCAAGGCUACGAUGUAUAGGGGGUCUGAGAGGAUGAUCCCCCACACUGGUACUGAGACACGGACCAGACUCC
rnacentral:rRNA from 2 species